rnacentral:rRNA from 1 species
AGUGGCGGACGGGUGAGUAACACGUAAGAAUUUGCCUUUAGGAGGGGGAUAACAAUUGGAAACGAUUGCUAAUACCCCAUAUGCUUUCGAGUGAAAUGGGUUUCCGCCUAAAGAGAAGCUUGCGGCUGAUUAGCUUGUUGGUGAGGUAAUGGCUCACCAAGGCGACGAUCAGUAUCUGGUUUGAGAGGACGAUCAGACACACUGGAACUGAGACACGGUCCAGACUCCUACGGGAGGCAGCAGUGGGGAAUUUUCCGCAAUGGGCGCAAGCCUGACGGAGCAAUACCGCGUGAGGGAUGAAGGCCUAUGGGUUGUAAACCUCUUUUUUCAGGGAGGAACAAAAUGACGUGUACCUGAAGAAUAAGCAUCGGCUAACUCCGUGCCAGCAGCCGCGGUAAGACGGGGGAUGCAAGUGUUAUCCGGAAUCACUGGGCGUAAAGCGUCUGUAGGUGGUUAUGUAAGUCAACUGUUAAAUCUUGAGGCUCAACCUCAAAAUCGCAGUCGAAACUGCUUGACUAGAGUAUAGUAGGGGUAAAGGGAAUUUCCAGUGGAGCGGUGAAAUGCGUAGAUAUUGGAAAGAACACUGAUGGCGAAGGCACUUUACUGGGCUAUUACUAACACUGAGAGACGAAAGCUAGGGUAGCAAAUGGGAUUAGAUACCCCAGUAGUCCUAGCUGUAAACAAUGGAUACUAGA